rnacentral:rRNA from 1 species
UGGGGAAUAUUGGACAAUGGGCGAAAGCCUGAUCCAGCCAUGCCGCGUGUGUGAAGAAGGUCUUCGGAUUGUAAAGCACUUUAAGUUGGGAGGAAGGGCAGUAAGCGAAUACCUUGCUGUUUUGACGUUACCGACAGAAUAAGCACCGGCUAACUCUGUGCCAGCAGCCGCGGUAAUACAGAGGGUGCAAGCGUUAAUCGGAAUUACUGGGCGUAAAGCGCGCGUAGGUGGUUCGUUAAGUUGGAUGUGAAAGCCCCGGGCUCAACCUGGGAACUGCAUCAAAAACUGGCGAGCUAGAGUAGGGCAGAGGGUGGUGGAAUUUCCUGUGUAGCGGUGAAAUGCGUAGAUAUAGGAAGGAACACCAGUGGCGAAGGCGACCACCUGGGCUCAUACUGACACUGAGGUGCGAAAGCGUGGGGAGCAAACAGG